rnacentral:rRNA from 1 species
CCUACGGGAGGCAGCAGUGGGGAAUAUUGCGCAAUGGACGAAAGUCUGACGCAGCGACGCCGCGUGUGGGAUGAAACUCUUCGGGGUGUAAACCACUGUUGCCCGGGAAGAAACUCCUGAUUCGUCAGGACUGACGGUACCGGGUGAGGAAGCACCGGCUAACUCUGUGCCAGCAGCCGCGGUAAUACAGAGGGUGCGAGCGUUGUCCGGAAUCACUGGGCGUAAAGGGCGCGUAGGUGGCGGGAUAAGUGUGUGGUGAAAGCUCGGGGCUCAACCCCGAGUCUGCCAUGCAGACUGUCUUGCUCGAGCGUAGUAGAGGCAGGUGGAAUUCCGGGUGUAGCGGUGGAAUGCGUAGAGAUCCGGAAGAACACCGGUGGCGAAGGCGGCCUGCUGGGCUACUGCUGACACUGAGGCGCGACAGCGUGGGGAGCAAACAGGAUUAGAUACCCUGGUAGUCCACGCCGUAAACGAUGGGUACUAGGUGUCUGGGGGAACGACCCCCGUGGGUGCCGGCGCUAACGCAUGAGUACCCCGCCUGGGGAGUACGGCCGCAAGGCUGAACUCAAAUGAAUUGACGG